AGAAAGGUAGUUUAUAAUAAAACACUAAGUUGCAAACUUAGAGAAAAUAAUUUUCUU
rnacentral:tRNA from 1 species